ACCAACGGGGUGCAGCAGGCGCGAAACCUCCGCAAUGCACGCAAGUGCGACGGGGGAACCCCAAGUGCCACUCUUAACGGGGUGGCUUUUCAGAAGUGUAAAAAGCUUCUGGAAUAAGGGCUGGGCAAGACCGGUACCAGCCGCCGCGGUAACACCGGCAGCUCAAGUGGUAGCCGCUUUUAUUGGGCCUAAAGCGUCCGUAGCCAGUCUGAUAAGUCUCUGGUGAAAUCCCACAGCUUAACUGUGGGAAUUGCUGGAGAUACUAUCAUGACUCGAGGUCGGGAGAGGCUGGAGGUACUCCCAGGGUAGGGGUGAAAUCCUGUAAUCCUGGGAGGACCACCUGUGGCGAAGGCGUCCAGCUGGAACGAACCUGACGGUGAGGGACGAAAGCCAGGGGCGCGAACCGGAUUAGAUACCCGGGUAGUCCUGGCCGUAAACGAUGUGGACUUGGUGUUGGGAUGGCUUCGAGCUGCCCCAGUGCCGAAGGGAAGCUGUUAAGUCCACCGCCUGGGAAGUACGGCCGCAAGGCUCCGGGAA
rnacentral:rRNA from 1 species